AGUGAACGCUGGCGGUAGGCCUAACACAUGCAAGGCGAACGGCAGCACAGGAGAGCUUGCUCUCUGGGUGGCGAGUGGCGGACGGGUGAGGAAUACAUCGGAAUCUGCCCAGUCGUGGGGGAUAACGUAGGGAAACUUACGCUAAUACCGCAUACGACCUUCGGGUGAAAGAGGGGGAUCGCAAGACCUCUCGCGAUUGGAUGAGCCGAUGUCGGAUUAGCUAGUUGGCGGGGUAAUGGCCCACCAAGGCGACGAUCCGUAGCUGGUCUGAGAGGAUGAUCAGCCACACUGGAACUGAGACACGGUCCAGACUCCUACGGGAGGCAGCAGUGGGGAAUAUUGGACAAUGGGCGCAAGCCUGAUCCAGCCAUACCGCGUGGGUGAAGAAGGCCUUCGGGUUGUAAAGCCCUUUUGUUGGGAAAGAAAUCGUUCAGGCUAAUACCCUGGGAGGAUGACGGUACCCAAAGAAUAAGCACCGGCUAACUUCGUG
rnacentral:rRNA from 1 species